GAUGAACGCUGGCGGCGUGCCUAAUACAUGCAAGUCGAGCGAACGGACGAGAAGCUUGCUUCUCUGAUGUUAGCGGCGGACGGGUGAGUAACACGUGGAUAACCUACCUAUAAGACUGGGAUAACUUCGGGAAACCGUAGCUAAUACCGGAUAAUAUUUUGAACCGCAUGGUUCAAAAGUGAAAGACGGUCUUGCUGUCACUUAUAGAUGGAUCCGCGCUGCAUUAGCUAGUUGGUAAGGUAACGGCUUACCAAGGCAACGAUGCAUAGCCGACCUGAGAGGGUGAUCGGCCACACUGGAACUGAGACACGGUCCAGACUCCUACGGGAGGCAGCAGUAGGGAAUCUUCCGCAAUGGGCGAAAGCCUGACGGAGCAACGCCGCGUGAGUGAUGAAGGUCUUCGGAUCGUAAAACUCUGUUAUUAGGGAAGAACAUAUGUGUAAGUAACUGUGCACAUCUUGACGGUACCUAAUCAGAAAGCCACGACUAACUACGUG
rnacentral:rRNA from 1 species